UAGGGUACCCUCUGACCCUUCUUAGUUCAACCAAAUGAACUAAAUUUUCAAAAAUGAUGUGAAUUCUGAAAAUUUAGUUCAUUUAGUUGAACUAAGUAGGGUUGAAGGGUACCCUG
rfam:Triticum aestivum genome assembly, contig: Triticum_aestivum_CS42_TGACv1_scaffold_159927_2DL